rnacentral:rRNA from 1 species
CCUACGGGAGGCAGCAGUGGGGAAUAUUGGACAAUGGGGGCAACCCUGAUCCAGCCAUGCCGCGUGUGUGAAGAAGGCCCUCGGGUUGUAAAGCACUUUCAGUGAGGAAGAACGCCUGGUGGUUAAUACCCAUCAGGAAAGACAUCACUCACAGAAGAAGCACCGGCUAACUCCGUGCCAGCAGCCGCGGUAAUACGGAGGGUGCGAGCGUUAAUCGGAAUUACUGGGCGUAAAGCGCGCGUAGGUGGCUUGAUAAGCCGGUUGUGAAAGCCCCGGGCUCAACCUGGGAACGGCAUCCGGAACUGUCAAGCUAGAGUGCAAGAGAGGAAGGUAGAAUUCCCGGUGUAGCGGUGAAAUGCGUAGAGAUCGGGAGGAAUACCAGUGGCGAAGGCGGCCUUCUGGACUGACACUGACACUGAGGUGCGAAAGCGUGGGUAGCAAACAGGAUUAGAUACCCUGGUAGUC